UGGAGGAUGGAGAAUCUUUAAUACACGUAAUUUCAUGUGGUUGGAUGGAACGCACUGGCUCUAUAAUGGCUGGGCUGUUGGAGAACCCAAUAAUGCUGGAGGGCAUGAGAACUGUGUAGAGACGUGGUAUAAUCUGGCGUUCAAUGAUGCACCAUGCACAAUUCCCAAACCAUUCAUCUGUUCCUGUCCACUUUAAACAGACAGAGGGUUAACCUAACCUGCUAUACA